GAAGCUGGCUAGGCAGUCGCCGCUUGCGCAAGCAGGGGGAGGAAAGUCCGGGCUCCAUAGAGCGGGAUGACGGCUAACGGCCGUACGCAGCAACUUUUAUAUCGCAAGAUAUAAAGGCCAAGGCGAGGAAUAGGGCCACAGAGACGAGCGUAUUUAGUUACGGUGAAACGCGGUAACCUCCAUCCGGAGCAAGGCCAAAUAGGGUAGUAAUGGCGUGGCUCGCGCUGCUACCGGGUAGGCUGCUUGAGCGCAUGAGUAAUUGUGCGCCUAGAUGAAUGACUGCUAUCCGCAGAAAUGCGGCACAGAACCCGGCUUAUCGGCCAGCUUCCUUC
rnacentral:RNase_P_RNA from 3 species